UCUCCCCACCUCUUCCCAUCCAUUUCAGUUCAAACAACUGACCACUGUAGCUCUCUCUCUCAAGCCACUGAGAUGCUCUUUGAUGUCUACCAUAUGGUCUACCUAAUGAACCUUCCCAUUGGUGGAGGGCAUGAGAUUAUGCCAUAAAAGUACCUGGCAACAAAUCCUGCAUCUCUCGCUCACUCCCCAGGUAACCCUGAGCUUAUAACUUCACCCCCUGGUAUCCUGUUCCCCCAUCUGUAGGGGAGCACAAAAGACAACUUUGCUGGGAUAGUUCUUGGAGUGAACGGAGCUCAAGAGGCUGCCUGAGGAGGAGCCCUACCUUCUUCUGAGGCAUCUCAUCUCCUUCACUUGCGAGAUCUGAAAACACGUGAUACAUAACGCAGCCUAGUCCCAGUUGAUGGUCCCUCUUCUCCCACAUUGGCACAACCCUCACUUGCUGGCUUCGGUGAAGAAUCACACAUGUGACCUCUCCAGAGAAGACUUCCCUGACCACCAAAGACAAAACUCAGUGGCCCACAAUGGCAACAUCCACCCCAUCAUCCCUCCCCAACGGCUGCUGUAUGCUAGGCACACUCUCAGCUCACCUGGAUCAGUGUCUCCAGUUCCUGGGGGCUCACACAGAUAUGAUCUCUCAAGAAUUCUGCCUUCUCCAAGGCAAUUGUGUUCUUCUGACUGCUCUCAAAGGGCUGUUCCAAUGCCCGGAAGACAAGGCCACCGGUGACGAGGUAGACCACGACCACCACAAAGAUGGCAACCACUGUUUUCCAUUUCAUAACUGUUUGCAGGCCUCCCUGGGAGGCGCCUUCCAUCCUGGCUACCACCGUGGCUCUGGAGGAAAUGGAGAGUCGAGGAACAGGAUGGUGCCCGUUAGUGGCACUCUUGGGCUGGCACACUGGUGGGGCUGCUGCAGGCACGGCCACUGAGGAAGCAGGUGGAGGAGAGAAGAGAAGAGAAUUCAUUUAUAAGAACAAAAUGCCAAACUCAUCAGAAACAAAGAACAGAUGUCUUCCUUCAGCCGCCUUUCCAAAUGUGAGGAUGAAAAGCUGGUUCACCAAGCCUGCAGCUGGGGAAUUUUAUUAGUUGUUAAGUAUCUGAUUUUUGUGGUUGUUGUUGUCUUAAUGAGUUCUUAAAAGUGAGCAUCGAGA